rnacentral:rRNA from 1 species
GUAGGUGGCAAGCGUUGUCCGGAAUUAUUGGGCGUAAAGCGCGCGCAGGCGGUUCUUUAAGUCUGGUGUGAAAGCCCACGGCUCAACCGUGGAGGGUCAUUGGAAACUGGAGAACUUGAGUACAGAAGAGGAAAGCGGAAUUCCACGUGUAACGGUGAAUAGCGUAGAGAUGUGGUAGGGAACGAACCACGUAGGUCGGAACGGACGGGCGUUUCUUGGUCGUCGUAACUGACGCUGAGGCGCGAAAGCGUGGGAGCAAACAGGAUUAGAUACCCUGGUAGUCCACGCCGUAAACGAUGAGUGCUAAGUGUUAGGGGGUUUCCCGCCCCCUUAGUGCUGCAGCUAACGCAUUAAGCACUCCGCCUGGGGAGUACGGCCGCAAGGCUG